rnacentral:rRNA from 1 species
UACGGAGGGUCCAAGCGUUAUCCGGAUUUAUUGGGUUUAAAGGGUUCGUAGGCGGAAUAUUAAGUCAGUGGUGAAAUCCUACAGCUCAACUGUAGAACUGCCAUUGAUACUGAUGUUCUUGAGUAUAAUUGGAGUUGGCGGAAUGUGUCAUGUAGCGGUGAAAUGCUUAGAUAUGACCCAGAACACCGAUCGCGAAAGCAGCCAACUAAGUUGUAACUGACGCUGAGGAACGAAAGCGUGGGGAGCGAACAGG